rnacentral:rRNA from 1 species
AACGAACGCUGGCGGCAUGCCUAACACAUGCAAGUCGAACGAGACCUUCGGGUCUGGUGGCGCACGGGUGCGUAACGCGUGGGAACCUGCCCUGAGGUUCGGAAUAACGCCCCGAAAGGGGUGCUAAUACCGGAGAAUGUCUUCGGACCAAAGGUUUGUCGCCUUUGGAUGGGCCCGAGUUGGAUUAGCUUGUUGGUAGGGUAAAAGCCUACCAAGGCGACGAGACAUAGCUGGUCUGAGAGGAUGAUCAGCCACACUGGGAGUGAGAAACGGCCCAGACUACUACGGGAGGCAGCAGUGGGGAAUAUUGGAAAAUGGGCGAAAGGCUGAUCCAGCAAGGACGCGUGAGUGAUGAAGGCCUUAGGGUUGUAAAGCUCUUUUACCCGGGAUGAUAAUGACAGUACCGGGAGAAUAAGCACCGGCUAACUCCGUG